CUCUGGGGAAGGCAGGGCUUUGGUCUAGAAGAUGAGAUUCUUGGGUCUUCUCCUGUGCCUGAUGACAGCUCCACAAAAUGUCCUGUCCCAGGUGAAUCUAAAACAAUGGGGGUCUGACCUCGUGAAACCCUCUCAGUCCUUGUCCCUCACCUGUGCUGUCUAUGGUUACUCCAUUACCAGUGGUUAUGACUGGACCUGGAUCCGCCAGCCCCCAGGGAAGAGCCUGGAGUGGAUGGGGUACAUAAGGUAUGAUGGUAGCACUAACUACAGCCCAUCCCUCAAAAGCCACAUCUCCAUCUCCAGAGACACGUCCAAGAACCAGUUCUCUCUGCAGCUGAGCUCUGUGACCACAGAGGCCACAGCUGUGUAUUACUGUGCUAGAAGCACAGUGAUGUGA